rfam:Pelodiscus sinensis unplaced genomic scaffold scaffold2637, whole genome shotgun sequence.
GCCCCAGUGGCCUAAUGGACAAGGCACUAGCCUUCUAAGCCAGGGAUUGUGGGUUCAAGUCCUACCUGGGGUG